rnacentral:rRNA from 1 species
CGGACAGAUGGGAGCUUGCUCCCUGAUGUUAGCGGCGGACGGGUGAGUAACACGUGGGUAACCUGCCUGUAAGACUGGGAUAACUCCGGGAAACCGGGGCUAAUACCGGAUGGUUGUUUGAACCGCAUGGUUCAAACAUAAAAGGUGGCUUCGGCUACCACUUACAGAUGGACCCGCGGCGCAUUAGCUAGUUGGUGAGGUAAUGGCUCACCAAGGCAACGAUGCGUAGCCUACCUGAGAGGGUGAUCGGCCACACUGGGACUGAGACACGGCCCAGACUCCUACGGGAGGCAGCAGUAGGGAAUCUUCCGCAAUGGACGAAAGUCUGACGGAGCAACGCCGCGUGAGUGAUGAAGGUUUUCGGAUCGUAAAGCUCUGUUGUUAGGGAAGAACAAGUACCGUUCGAAUAGGGCGGUACCUUGACGGUACCUAACCAGAAAGCCACGGCUAACUACGUGCCAGCAGCCGCGGUAAUACGUAGGUGGCAAGCGUUGUCCGGAAAUUAUUGGGCGUAAAGGGCUCGCAGGCGGUUUCUUAAGUCUGAUGUGAAAAGCCCCCCGGCUCAACCGGGGGAGGGUUCAUUGGAAAACUGGGGAACUUGAGUGCAGAAGAGGAGAGUGGAAUUCCACGUGUAGCGGUGAAAUGCGUAGAGAUGUGGAGGAAACACCAGUGGCGAAGGCGACUCUCUGGUCUGUAACUGACGCUGAGGAGCGAAAGCGUGGGGGAGCGAACAGGAUUAGAUACCCUGGAGUCCACGCCGUAAACGAUGAGUGCUAAGUGUUAGGGGGGUUUCCGCCCCUUUAGUGCUGCAGCUAACGCAUUUAAGCACUCCGC